UUGACCUCGAAUCAGGUAGGGAUACCCGCUGAACUUAAGCAUAUCAAUAAGCGGAGNNNNNNNNNNNNNNNNNNNNNNNNNNAGUAACGGCGAGUGAAGCGGUAACAGCUCAAAUUUGAAAUCUGGCUCCUGCGGAGUCCGAGUUGUAAUUUGUAGAAGAUGCUUUGGGAGGUAGGGCCGGCCUAAGUUCCUUGGAACAGGACAUCAGAGAGGGUGAGAAUCCCGUAUGCGGCCGCGGCCUACGCCCGUGUAAAGCUCUUUCGACGAGUCGAGUUGUUUGGGAAUGCAGCUCAAAAUGGGUGGUAAAUUUCAUCUAAAGCUAAAUAUUGGCCAGAGACCGAUAGCGCACAAGUAGAGUGAUCGAAAGAUGAAAAGCACUUUGGAAAGAGAGUUAAACAGUACGUGAAAUUGUUGAAAGGGAAGCGCUUGCACCCAGACUUGGGCGUCGUCGAUCAUCCGAGGUUCUCCUCGGUGCACUCGACGAUGCACAGGCCAGCAUCGGUUUGGGUGGUUGGAGAAAGGCUCUAGGAACGUAGCUCUCUUCGGGGAGUGUUAUAGCCUAGGGCGUAAUGCAGCCCAUCCGGACCGAGGACCGCGCCUUCGGGCUAGGAUGCUGGCGUAAUGGUUGCAAGCGACCCGUCUUGAAACACGGACCAAGGAGUCUAACAUCUAUGCGAGUGUUUGGGCGUUAAACCCAUACGCGGAAUGAAAGUGAA
rnacentral:rRNA from 1 species